rnacentral:rRNA from 1 species
AUUGAACGCUGGCGGCAUGCCUUACACAUGCAAGUCGAACGGCAGCACGGGUGCUUGCACCUGGUGGCGAGUGGCGAACGGGUGAGUAAUACAUCGGAACGUACCUUAUCGUGGGGGAUAACGCAGCGAAAGCUGUGCUAAUACCGCAUACGCCCUGAGGGGGAAAGCGGGGGAUCGAAAGACCUCGCGCGAUUAGAGCGGCCGAUGCCUGAUUAGCUUGUUGGUGGGGUAAAAGCCCACCAAGGCGACGAUCAGUAGCUGGUCUGAGAGGACGAUCAGCCACACUGGGACUGAGACACGGCCCAGACUCCUACGGGAGGCAGCAGUGGGGAAUUUUGGACAAUGGGGGCAACCCUGAUCCAGCAAUGCCGCGUGAGUGAAGAAGGCCUUCGGGUUGUAAAGCUCUUUUGUCAGGGAAGAAACACCGGCUUUAACACAGUCCGGGAAUGACGGUACCUGAAGAAUAAGCACUGGCUAACUACGUGCCAGCCGCCGCAGUAA